rnacentral:sRNA from 1 species
AGGAACCGGAAACGGGAUGGGGAGCUGGACCAGGCUGGAGUGCAAUGGCGCGAUCUCAGCAGCCUCCGCCUCCCGGGUUCAAGCGAUUCUCCUGCCUCAGCCUCCCGAAAAAUUCUUGCUGCUGUAUUGAGAAUAGAUUGAGAAAACAAGGGCAGAAGCCGGGAGACCAGUCAGGAGCUGAUUGCAGUAUCAGGCUGGUCUGGAACUCCUGGGCUGAAGCUAUCCUCUUGCGUUGGCCUCCCAAAAUGUUGGAAUUACAGGCAUGGGCCACUACACCUGGCGAUCUGUGUCUUAUAUGCUGGGCAGAUGUGCCUGAGACAGGUUUGACCCGCCAACUGAAAAGACAUCCCUAAGAGAAGACAAAGCAAAGGUAUGAAAGGAACACACGUCCCUGACUUACUAGGAGGAACAGAGCUGCCUGCUGUCUGGAACCGCUUCCUCCCAGACUAAGUGAGAAAUAAACUUCUGUUUUCUAUA